CCCACAAAACCUGGAGAUAUUUUGGGCUUGGUUAGUUUUUUGACUUUUUGGUUGAUGAAAUUAUCAACAAAAAAAACGAACUUGUUUGCCUCUGAGAUGUUUUUGGGAUCUCACUUCUCUAUGUUGCUGCUGUUAUUCAUUAACAAUUUCAAUUUUAAAACAUAAUAAAAAUAUUAAAAAAAACAAACGAACAAUAAAGAAAAAGAAAAAUUAAAAAGUAAAAGAGAGCUAUAACGUUUAAUUCACGGUUCUAAUGUUGGGAAUUUGCAGCUACCCUGCCUAUGCACAGAGUACCUGCCUAGUUUUCUAUCAGUAUAUUGGGAAUGUUGGGAGCCUUUUCUUAAUCCCUUUGUAUUUCCCUCAUACUGUUCAUUCAGCUCUAUAAGAGAGAGAGAAAGAGAAGUGACCUUUUUGCGGCGGUGGGCGGUGCGGUAGCGAGGGACGGUGGAGACAAGGACUGAGAGCAGAGAAAGGAAGGAGAAUGAGAGACCAAUUGAUUUCUUACAGAUUGUUGUAUUCUGGUUCUAACUUCUAAGAAAGGAGAAGUGUUCAAAUACCCUAUUUUAAUGUCU
rnacentral:lncRNA from 1 species